UACAGAGGUCUCAAGCGUUGUUCGGAUUCAUUGGGCGUAAAGGGUGCGUAGGCGGCGCGGUAAGUCGGAUGUGAAAUCUUGGAGCUUAACUCCGAAACUGCAUUCGAUACUGCCGUGCUUGAGGACUGGAGAGGAGACUGGAAUUUACGGUGUAGCGGUGAAAUGCGUAGAUAUCGUAAGGAAGACCAGUGGCGAAGGCGGGUCUCGUGGACAGUUCCUGACGCUGAAGCACGAAGGCCAGGGGAGCAAACGGG
rnacentral:rRNA from 1 species